AGUGAACGCUGGCGGUAGGCCUAACACAUGCAAGUCGAACGGCAGCACAGUAAGAGCUUGCUCUUACGGGUGGCGAGUGGCGGACGGGUGAGGAAUACAUCGGGAUCUACUUUUUCGUGGGGGAUAACGUAGGGAAACUUACGCUAAUACCGCAUACGACCUACGGGUGAAAGCAGGGGAUCUUCGGACCUUGCGCGAUUGAAUGAGCCGAUGUCGGAUUAGCUAGUUGGCGGGGUAAAGGCCCACCAAGGCGACGAUCCGUAGCUGGUCUGAGAGGAUGAUCAGCCACACUGGAACUGAGACACGGUCUAGACUCCUACGGGAGGCAGCAGUGGGGAAUAUUGGACAAUGGGCGCAAGCCUGAUCCAGCCAUACCGCGUGGGUGAAGAAGGCCUUCGGGUUGUAAAGCCCUUUUGUUGGGAAAGAAAAGCAGCAGGUUAAUACCCCGCUGUUCUGACGGUACCCAAAGAAUAAGCACCGGCUAACUUCGUG
rnacentral:rRNA from 1 species